CUUGCUACGUGCGACUUUCUGCUUGCGGGUGCGCUGAGUGGGUUGGAUCAAAGCGUUGGAUUAGCCGUGUCAACGGUGCAAAAUGUAAGAUAUUUUGAGGAAAUUCAUCGUUAUGCGCGUUGUAAUGGAUUUCCACGCUAUUGUUGGUGGUUUAGCCAUUAACUUGGAAAAGGAUAACACAAAAGAUGUAUGCAUAGAGGUUGAAUGAUCAAUUUUUGGAAGACAGGUGAAAGUGUGAAGUGAAUCAAGUCAUUUGCUGCUGCCUACUCCUGAAGUCUCUCCAGAAGUGUCUCCACUUCCUUCCACUAACCAGCUUUUCUACUAGUGUCAACACAGCACAAGGCACAUUCAUUUCAUUUUUGCAUUUUGUUUAUUUUUUUGUAAAAUUUGUAAUGCAAUUCAAACUUACAAAAAUUA